GAUGAACGCUGGCGGCGUGCCUAAUACAUGCAAGUCGAGCGAACAGACGAGGAGCUUGCUCCUCUGACGUUAGCGGCGGACGGGUGAGUAACACGUGGAUAACCUACCUAUAAGACUGGGAUAACUUCGGGAAACCGGAGCUAAUACCGGAUAAUAUAUUUAACCGCAUGGUUCAAUAGUGAAAGACGGUUUUGCUGUCACUUAUAGAUGGAUCCGCGCCGCAUUAGCUAGUUGGUAAGGUAACGGCUUACCAAGGCAACGAUGCGUAACUGACCUGAGAGGGUGAUCAGCCAUGCUGGAACUGAGACACGGUCCAGAAUCCUACGGGAGGCAGCAGUAGGGAAUCUUCCGCAAUGGGCGAAAGCCUGACGGGGCAACGCCGCGUGAGUGAUGAAGGUCUUCGGAUCGUAAAACUCUGUUAUUAGGGAAGAACAAAUGUGUAAGUAACUAUGCACGUCUUGACGGUACCUAAUCAGAAAGCCACGGCUAACUACGUG
rnacentral:rRNA from 1 species